ensembl:lncRNA
CAGAAAUGCUUGGUGUUAAAGAUAUAGCCUCCAUAAACAGCACACUAGUGUUCUUGUUAAUGCAUCUCUUUCUGACAGAGACAGAUCUAGAUACAGUUGUAGCAGAGAUCAAUAUAUCAAAGAAAAUACAGAAGUGAUCAGAUAGUGCUACGUCCUUAAUAACAAGGAAUGAAAUGUUUAGACCCCUACUGAUGAUUAAAUCUAGAGUAUGUCCUCAGCUGUGUGUGAGUUCAUGCACAUGCUGAAUCAGGUCAAAAGUGUUUAGAACCGUUAUCAUCUUUUGUAGUUUUGUUUUCUGCAUUAUCUAUGUGAAUAUUAAAAUCCCCUGCAAUAGCAAAACAGUCAAACUUUGAGGAAAUCAUUGAUAACAUUUCUGUUAACUCUUCAACAAAGGCUGGAGAGUAUUUUGGAGGCCUGUAAAUAGUGAUAAACAGAAUGUGUGGAGCACCUUUCAGCACAACCCCUAGAUAUUCAAAAGACAAGUACUGACCAAAUGACACUUGCUUGCAUUGAUAGACAUCUUUAAAUAGAGAAGCUACACCUCCACCUCUCCUAACAGUCCUGCAGACACUCAUGAAAGUAAAGUUAGGAGGGGCUGUUUCAUUGAGGACUGUUGCACUGCAGAUGUCUUCUACCCAUGUUUCAUUUAGAAACAUAUAAUCCAGAUUGUUUGUGGUUUUUACAGUAGGUUAUUGAUUAGAAAUGAUUUAUUUUUUAGUGAGCGAAUGUUUAAAAAUGCUAACUUGAUGGCAGUGUUUUAUGUCUUUACAUCAAUCUUAGUUUGAUGCAUAAUAGGCCGCAGAUUAGAUGAGUUAGAACAGAGAAAUGUCACGGUUCACGAAUCGGCUGUCUCACACUGAGGUGUCUGUGUGUGAGUGUAAUUGUGUGGGUGUGGUUACUCAUUGUGUUGAUUAAUGUCACCAGCUGUCGUUGAUUUCACCUCCCUUUAUAUGUCAGUAAAUUCCCUCUCAUGUUGUCAGAUCGUUGUGGUUGUUCCCUGGUGUGCCUCCUGUUCUUGUGUCUCGUCAAGCCCCGUUCUCCGUUGGAUUUCGUCAGUUCUUCGUGUCGUUUGGAUUUCGUCAGUUCCUCGUGUCGUCUGGAUGUUCAACGGUUCCUGAGUUUCUCUUCACACUCUUCACCGCACCACCACCGGAUCGCCAUCUCGUCCCUGCUUCACCACCACCACCACCACCUGAUUGUUUGUCCCCGGCCUGUGUCUUUACUCUGACCCUCAUUAUUAUUAAACUUGUUAACUUGCAUCUUGCAUCCUCUCAUUAUUCAUCACAAGAAAAACCAUGAACGGAUAGAGAGAGGUGGAGAUUCUGAUAGGUGUUAAAUCAGGAAGAGUCUGUCAGCAUGACUCGAUUCACCUGCUGAUCAGCUCACAUGACCAGCAGACGUUACUCUGCAGUAGCAAUGCAGAGACAGACAGACACUCCAUGAUGAAUCACAUAAUACAUAUAGUAUAGAAACAUUAGACUGUUUAUUGAACACUGGCAGUCAUGCAUGUAUAUACUCAAAAACGCACCAUAGAGUCAAUUAAAACAUCACUGAUUCACUUUUGUGGCAAAAAAUGCAGGAAACAGGACAAAAUGCAACGUGUGUGUGUGUGUGUGUGUGUGUGUGUGUGGUCAGGGUGGAGAGCACUGUUACUACCAUGGCCAGAUCAGAGGGAAUGACAACUCUCAUGCCUCUCUGUCCACCUGCAAUGGUUUACUGGAGUGAAAUAAUCUGCUUAAAUAAUAUCUGAAAGCUUUCUCUACUAUAUACGGAUUAUUCAGCUGUGUCUGUAUUUUUUUCUCAUUUUUAAGUUGCUUCGGAUUUAAGCAGCUAAAUUAAUAAACGUAAUUGUAUGUCUCUCUGGUCUUCA